rnacentral:lncRNA from 1 species
AGAUCUUAGGUGCCACAGUCGGAGGAGAUGCAGUAUUUUAACACUCAGUAGCCCAACGGUCACUUGCUAGGGAAACUGAGACCCAGAAGAGAUAGAUGCCACAUGUUCGAACACUCACAAGGAAACACAGAGAGCCAGAAGACAGUGAAAGGAACAGCUUGUCAUGUCCCCCAGCUACCACGGAUUGGCUCAGUGAAGAGAGGCUGUGGUCACCUCUGCAUGGUUUCCUGGUACAAACACAAAUUUCCUUUCCUCUGGCUGCAUUCCUAAAAUUAAUUAAAUCUUGGCUCAAGAAGGCUUCUUCAUGCCAGCAAGAUGAGAAGACUGAAUGCAGAGAAGCUCAAGGUCAAAACAAGGACGUCAGCUCCAUGAGGUCGGGGACCUUGCCUGUUGUAUUCACUUCUAUCUCCUAGAACAGCGGCUGGCACAGAGUCUUUCCAACUCAAAUGGUUGUAAGGAGGAAAAAGAGGAGGUGGAGAAGAGGAACACUGUUCCUAGUGCUUAAUGUGUCCCAGACCCUAUUGUAGAGGCUUCAGACAUCUAUAAUGGCAUCUUCAGGAGACCUGUGUGCACCCUGUCUGAGUUGAAGUACACACCCUGAAGAGGAGCCAGUUAUGAAGGACCAAAUGCACAUAUUAAAAUUAAACAUCACAUGAUUCUCAAA